rnacentral:rRNA from 1 species
UGAGGAAUUUUGCGCAAUGGGGGAAACCCUGACGCAGCAACGCCGCGUGAGUGAUGAAGGCUUUCGGGUCGUAAAGCUCUGUCAAGUGGGAAGAACCUGUCCGAUGCAAAUACCAUCGGGCACUGACGGUACCACUGAAGGAAGCACCGGCUAACUCCGUGCCAGCAGCCGCGGUAAUACGGAGGGUGCAAGCGUUGUUCGGAAUUAUUGGGCGUAAAGCGCGUGUAGGCGGUUUGUUAAGUCUGAUGUGAAAGCCCUGGGCUCAACCCAGGAAGUGCAUUGGAAACUGGCAAACUUGAGUACGGGAGAGGAAAGUGGAAUUUCGAGUGUAGGGGUGAAAUCCGUAGAUAUUCGAAGGAACACCAGUGGCGAAGGCGGCUUUCUGGACCGAUACUGACGCUGAGACGCGAAAGCGUGGGGAGCAAACAGGAUUAGAUACCCUGGUAGUCCACGCCGUAAACGAUGGGUACUAGGUGUUGCGGGUAUUGACCCCUGCAGUGCCAAAGCUAACGCAUUAAGUACCCCGCCUGGGGAGUACGGCCGCAAGGCUA